rnacentral:rRNA from 1 species
UACAGAGGGUGCGAGCGUUGUCCGGAAUCACUGGGCGUAAAGGGCGCGUAGGUGGUGGCUUAAGCGUGCGGUGAAAGCUCGGGGCUCAACUCCGAGUCGGCCGUGCGAACUGGGCUCACUGGAGCAUAGUAGAGGCAGGUGGAAUUCCGGGUGUAGCGGUGGAAUGCGUAGAGAUCCGGAAGAACACCGGUGGCGAAGGCGGUCUGCUGGGGUAAUGCUGACACUGAGGCGCGACAGCGUGGGGAGCAAACAGG